rnacentral:ncRNA from 1 species
UUAAUAACAAAGGUCGAGAACCUUAAAAAAUUAA